GUGAGCGAGCGAGAUAGAGCGACCGGUGGGAAGCGCAAUUGAAGGAGAUGGCUUGAAGAGAUUAAAACUAUGCACAGUUUUCCUAAGUGCUCCUGUACUCAGAUUGAUUUUGCUAAAUUUUCGGAUUGCAGUCAGCAAAAGUGAUAGCAACAACGUAAGCCCCUGCUUACAAAGUAACCAUGCAGUCGAAGACCGAUGUUUCAGAUGCGAAAGAUACGGAUGAAUCGAGAUACAGGGGCUAGAGCGCAUCUUCAGUCGGGACAUUUACAUAAUAAGGCAGCCAGGCAGCCAGUGCAUGCAGCAUGAGAAGCCUUCUUUGAUUCGUUGCGAAUUUCUGGGGGAUCCCCCGCACUGCAGAUAUGUACAUGUAUGCAUGUGUGAGUGACUGAGUGUUUUGGAUUCUGUGUCAAAAUGGCGCAGAAAAAUGGUCGAGUGGAGCUGACUGCAGGGCGCCAAAGUGGAAUGGAUUUGACACACCACAGUGUUUCCCGGUACGGAUGCGUCACAAAAUCAUGACACCUUUCGACCAGCCACGUGCGACUCCUACAAUAUUUAUCAAUGACGAAAGCGGCGGCAAUAAAAAAAUAAGGAAGCCGAACCCAAGGAGCCGAGAAUCACGCAUUAAAUUUUGUUGAUUAAAUAUUUAAUAAUGCGUGUGCGGAGAGGAAGCACCUUAAACUCGUGCCAAAGAUUCCGGAGACCCAGUGAGACCGUGUGUGUAUUAAUGGCCGAAUUAUGACGGAACGUACUUGACAUAAGGCCCGAUAGGUACCAGGCACACCCUGUGUGUGGCCUUAACAGAUUUCCCAUCGGCGGACAUGCGUCGAAAUUCUCUUCCUUCGUUUCCUGUGUAUAUGGAAACGCUGGCAAAACGCUGACAAGAGAGAAGAGAGAGAGAGAGAGUGGCUGAGAACGAAUUUAGCUGAAGAGAGCCAACGGGUAAAUGUUGCCAGCAACAUGCAGAUGAUGCAAAGCUCAGGCCCAAAUCAAACUGAAAUUCCACACAAAAAAUAAAAGAAGAAAACACGGAAAGACCCCCGAGAAAAUAAUGAUUUUAGCUGCUUCUCCUUUGGGUCCAAGCUCUGGCAAUUGCUUUGUUGCCCGAAAACGAGAUUCGGAGUUAGGGAAAUACAAAUCUUUGAUUAAUUGUUUGCCAUCUAACAUGACAUACCAUUUACAAUGGCCACGUGCUCUUUAAAUAUUUAUAUGGAUAUUUCAAAUGCGAAUCCAAACUGAUUCCCCUACUAAGUCGCAGGGAAACUGUGCAGACAGGCAUAAAUCAUUUACUCAAACAAUCUGGGCUUCCAAUAAAAAAAUAACAACACGAAAAGGACUUUAUUACAACCAAAAUAACAACGCGAUGGGUUGAUAUAGUUAAUCUUCUUUGUUUUUUGUGGAAGCAUUUCACCAACAACAUGAAUAUUGAGUUGUAAAAAAGAACAAUAAAGUGGGUUACGUGAGUAAGUAAUUUAUGAUAAGGAAGAAGUACCAUUCGACAUCGGAAAAUUUAAGCUUAAGCUUAUUAAUAUUUUAAAGUCUUAUUCAUUUACCGAACAAGCUCAUUUACAGCCACUCUAUUUAU